rnacentral:rRNA from 1 species
AUUGAACGCUGGCGGCAUGCCUUACACAUGCAAGUCGAACGGCAGCACGGGUGCUUGCACCUGGUGGCGAGUGGCGAACGGGUGAGUAAUACAUCGGAACAUGUCCUGUAGUGGGGGAUAGCCCGGCGAAAGCCGGAUUAAUACCGCAUACGAUCUACGGAUAAAAGCGGGGGACCUUCGGGCCUCGCGCUAUAGGGUUGGCCGAUGGCUGAUUAGCUAGUUGGUGGGGUAAAGGCCUACCAAGGCGACGAUCAGUAGCUGGUCUGAGAGGACGACCAGCCACACUGGGACUGAGACACGGCCCAGACUCCUACGGGAGGCAGCAGUGGGGAAUUUUGGACAAUGGGCGAAAGCCUGAUCCAGCAAUGCCGCGUGUGUGAAGAAGGCCUUCGGGUUGUAAAGCACUUUUGUCCGGAAAGAAAUCCUUGGCCCUAAUACGGUCGGGGGAUGACGGUACCGGAAGAAUAAGCACCGGCUAACUACGUG